rnacentral:rRNA from 1 species
CCUACGGGAGUCAGCAGUAGGGAAUCUUUCACAAUGGGCGAAAGCCUGAUGGAGCAACGCCGCGUGCAGGAUGAAGGCCUUCGGGUUGUAAACUGCUUUUAUAAGCGAGAAAUAUGAUGGUAACUUAUGAAUAAGGAUCGGCUAACUACGUGCCAGCAGCCGCGGUCAUACGUAGGAUCCGAGCAUUAUCCGGAGUGACUGGGUGUAAAGAGUUGCGUAGGUGGCAUAAUAAGUAGCUAGUGAAAUCUGGUGGCUCAACCAUUCAGACUAUUAGCUAAACUGUUAAGCUCGAGACCGUUAGGGGUAACUGGAAUUUCUAGUGUAGGAGUGAAAUCCGUAGAUAUUAGAAGGAACACCAAUAGCGUAGGCAGGUUGCUGGGACGGUUCUGACACUAAGGCACGAAAGCGUAGGGAGCAAACGGGAUUAGAUACCCCAGUAGUC